CAUUUCCUCCUCCAGGGGAUCUUCCCAACCCAGGGAUAGAACCUGCAUCUCUCAUGUCUGUCUCCUGCUUGGCAGGUGGAUUCUUUAUCACUAGCGCCACCUGGGAAGCCUGUAAUUAUUAGGGAUCAACACCUAUGAAAUGAGAGGAAGGAUUGGGCAGAGGGAGAAGUUAAAACGCUAAUACAUCAAAUAUCUGGGUGCAGGCUUCACUGGGAAGAGAGUGUUCUCCAACCAGGCAUCUCUCUGCAGCUAAGGUGGACCUGGAACGAGCUGACAGCUAGGAGUUGCCUACUGACUGCACUCUGCAGCUGAGUGGCCAGAACUUCUUGCAGGGGGGAGUGGCAGGGAGGUGAGCAGUCUUUGAUGUCCAUCUUCGUUUCUGUUACAUAUGCAGAGUAUUCAGUACUUAUAUCAGUUUCUUAGUAAAUACCCUUGAUUGUAAUUUGCUGAUUACUACGCACCUUCUCCCUAGGAUGGUAGGCUAAGCUCAGGAGCUCGCCUCUGUUGGGCUCAUCCUUUCCAUCACCCAACAUGUAGUGGGCAUGCAAUAAAGAGUCAUAAAACCGGUGUUUGUCUUCAAGUUCAAUGUCUAGAGUUAUUUCUACUGCUGUAGUCAUCACUAUAAUCUGAAGACCAGAACACUGAUAAUUCCUGAGUCCCUCUUGGAGGCUUGCCACUGCGCCAGCUUUACACCUGCAAAGUGGUUUGCUCUUGACAACCAUUUUGCAAAAUAAAAGCCAUUGCUCCCCCUUCACAGUCUAAGAACUGCUGCUCAGAGAAGUUGAGCAGCCCUGUGACUCCAGAGCUUAGAGUUUUCCCCUGCACUGAGUCAGCAUUGCUGGUGAGGCUGGGCUUCCAGGCACCUGAUGGGAGCACCUCUGGGUUGGGUCUUGUGUCUUCUCUGGCAUUCAUAUUGAUAUUCGAGCCCAGAGGACAUAGGCCGCUGUAGCUGCUAUACUUUCCAGUUGCUGUCUUCCUAAGGUAAGAUGAACACCUUCCUGUAACCAGAAGCUCUGUUGAUACAGCAAGCAUCUUGGGAUUGCAAGUCUUCCUGGGCUUUACUCUGUCUGUUCCAACUCUGAGAGCAUAUCCCAGAUGUUGACUGUGUGCUGUAUUCAGAUGCCUGCCAGGCUUUCACUGAAGACCAUGAACAUUUCCCCAGGGGUGCCAUUUCUUCCCCCCAUCCAGGAAUUGUCUUGAGUGAGGGGCAUGGGAAGCCCACUCAUCCACUUAUUCUGCAUGAGAGUCCUGGCUGGCAUCUGUUAGGACCAGCCCAGGAGGCUCUUGGUGCCCUGAUACAGGCAGAGCCCUGACCAUCCCCCAUGGGGCUUGUGGCCCAUGUUGAAGUGGAUUCUCACCUGACCUAAGCCCUCUCUCUGGCUUCGGGAUAUAGCAGUGCUGAAGAUAAUCAGCCUGGAAAGAUUAGAAAAACCUAGAAUUGGUUGAGAAGAGCCUAGGAAGAAGACAAUUUGGUUUCUAAUCUUGAGGCAAGGGGUGAACAUAGAUGGCUGGAAGGCUGGGUGGUAGAAAUGGCAGCAAAGGAGGAAACCAGGCAGGAAGCAACCUCAGAGCCUGUGCCAGAAGAGCCCAGAAGCAGAGGUCUAGGCUGUAGGGGGCAGGGUGGGAACAAAGUGUGUGCAGAUGAAAAAGCACUCUGAGUUUAGGAUCUGGGGUCAGUACAGCAUGGUGGCUGAAAACACGGUUUCUAAGGUUGGAGAGUUUGGAUCUGAAUCCACUCACCACCAGCCAUGUGACCUUGAGCAAGUUACUUAACUACCCUCCCUCUUAGUCCUCUUCUAGGAAUAGGAAUAGGAAUAAUUACAGCCAUUAUCACAUUGGGUUGCUGAGAGGAUUAAAUGGGUCCUAUGUCAUCUGCCUGCCAAGGAUGUGUUUCCUCUCUCUUUUUUCUUUUGAAUGAACUUUGGAUUUUACAACAGUUUUAGGCUCUCAGAGUUUGUAAAGAGAGUGCAGGGUGUUCUCAAUUUCCCUAUGAGCAUAGUACAUGAACUGUGAUGCAUUUGUUACAAUGAAUGAACCAAAACUGGUACAUUGUCAUCAGGUCAAGCCCAUACAUUCAUUCAGACAUCCUUGAAUGACUUCCAGACUUAUAUUUAGCCAUGGUCUCUCCUUUGUUGUUGUUAGUCAUUACAUUGUGUCUGACUCUUUUGCAACCCCAUGGCUUUAGACCACCAGGCUGUUCUGUCCAUGGGAUUUCCCAGGCAAGAAUACCUGAGUGGUUUGCCAUUUCCUGCUCCAGGGGAUCUUCCCGACUCAGGAAUUGAACCCACAUCUCCUGCGUUGGCAGGUAGACUCUUUACCACAGAGCCACCCAGGAAGCCCUCACCUCUCCUUUGGCUCCUCGUAACAUGACAGUUUUAGAUGACCUUGAGGGUUUUGAUGCAUACUGGUCAGGCGUUAAAUACAACGUCCCUCAGUUGGGAUUUGUCUUUUCUUUUUUCCUCAUGCUUUGGCUGGGGUUAUGUGUUUUGGGGAGGAAGGCUCAUAGAUAUUUAUUUUGUACUUUGGGUUAUAACCCACUACUCCUUUAUUUUGUUGCUCUAAUUCUUCCAACCUUUUCGAACAAGAGCUUCUUCAGUUGGCUCCGGGGACAGGGAUUUUCAGUUGAAUUCAACUUUGUCAACUCAGUGAUGUAAUUGGAUUUGACCCAACAGGAACUGGGGUCCUGAGUGGGAGUUUCCUGUGCUGUUGCUUUGUAAUUAAAUUCUUCCAGUUCCCAGAGUGGUCAGGCCGGGUCCAGGCAGGUUUUCCUAACCUCUGAGAUGGAAAUUCUUGGAGUGGAAUGAAGUUUGUAAACUUUAUUUCCUUAUUUGUCUCCCUGUUCUCACUGUAAAUUCAGUUUGAACAACUGAGAAAUAUCUUCCCUAGGACAGAUUAAUGAAGAAAUAGAGUUUAAGGUACUGUUAUUUCCUCAGCCCCUCAAUGCUGGCAUUCCUCACUGUCUGUUCCUUCUCACUAAGCACUAGACAGGCUUAUUUCCCAAGUAAGUUUUACAUCCAUGGGGCUGAUGAAACCAUAAUUCAACAAAUGCAUAACUCCUGGUUUGAGCACUUAUAAUUCUUUAAUUAGUUGCUUGCCGAUUGCUCUAAUCUCAGGACACAGCGAAAUCCUAGAACACAGAGAGUAUAUUUUAUAUAUAUUUGUGAAUCCGUUGCUUGGCACAGUAAGAUAUUAGAGGCUUAAAAAUGUUGAUUAAAUAACUCAGGACUGGAAAAGUAAUUAGCUUACCUAACUUGAUGAACUUGUUAAUACAAUUAUUAUUUAAAGUAAUUCAGAUUGUGCCCAUCUCUCCUUAUUGUGGUUGCUUUCUUAUCAGCCUCUUAAGCAGUUUUGGAAAAAAGCACUGAUUUUAGCUCUUGUUUUCCUUAGCUGACCUUUCCCACUGCAUUUGUCAGGCAUUUUGCCUCUUGGCUUUUACUUAUCACAGAACAUAACCUGUUCACUGACCUGAACUUUGUCCAUUUUUUCAGAUUUCUGUACCGUUUCUUGUUAUGUCAACUCUGUUUUUCUUUAGGUAACUAUCUUUUGACAGUUUAUUUUUUCUGUUCACUGAUUUUAUUUUUCCUUCUUCUGCAAGUGUGAGUCUCAGUUUCCUUUAUGAUUUUAACAUCAAGGAGUUUGAUGAAUAUAUUGGUUCUGUUUAUUGCUGGAUGCCAUUGUAAAGAAUGGACCCAAAUAUGAAUGAAGCAAGGUUGGCAAUGAAGGGCUGAGAAGCAGAGGAAGAGAUUCAUGCUUGCUGGUGAACUGACUGCUAUGCCUUCGGGAACUGAACACGUAGUGGGCUCAGGGUUUGCUCUGCAAGCCAGGACCCCCGUCCACUUUCCUAUGGUGAUAGCGGCUCCUACUUGGGAGUGACCUUGGGGAUAAAUGCCUGUCCGUGUUGUGUUGGCCUGACAAUAUAUUAGCCUUUGGAGGUUAAACUUCUUUCUUCCUUUCACAGUUUGCUUUUACCUGUUAACCUCAGGUGCUUUUUUUUUUUUUUUUCUUUUUCAUUCCAUGGCUUUUUUUUUUUUGUCCUGUGACCGAAUCAAUGCUGUUGUGAAAAGGUCAGCAGCUUCUGAAACACCUUUGGUUCAUAACAGAAUGUAAGGCCCAUUUUGAAAUUCCUCCCCACCCCUCCUUUUUCCUCUCCCACCAAGAAUCGAUCCCAGAGCCCCAUCUGUGCUUUUCCUCUAAAUGGUUCUUCUUUACAGGUGUUAACAUUGCAUUUAUGUAAAACAUAACAUAACCCUCUUUUAAGCAGGGGCAUCCUGUUAGGAACACAGUAUGUUCAUUCCCAGAAACCUCCUGGUAACUCUCUUUGUGCUGUUGCUGUUUCUGGGACACUCUUUUGCUGUAUAAAUGGUCUUUCAGCCUGGUUUGUGUGAAUCAGAUGUAUAGACUUUUUAAAUCUGAACUCCGAACCUCAGGACCUAUAGCGUUUGCCCUUGGUGCUUCCCGUCUUGGGAGAGAGAAACUGUGUCCUGCCGACUUGUCGGUGGAAAGAGGCCCUUCCAUGGUGGUGCUUCCAUUGGCAUUGCUGGCCACUAACUCAUGGAUGCCAGAUAAUAUGUCAUUAACUAACCUUUCCAUUUCCAUUGUGUGUUUGGACAGGCAGUGCUCUUCAGGUCAAGGUGAGUAUAAUUACAUGCCUUCUUUUUUAAUGACAAAUCAGUUUUGGUUGAAUUCACCCCCUUUCUCUCUUCCAGUAGCUAAGAAUAAGCCAAUUACCUAGAGGAGCCUUGAGAUAGAUCAGAUAAACACAUUGCUUACUUUUUCCUAGGCUGUGGAUGCAUUUGGUUGGGUGGUCUUUGUAAGCACAAAUCAAUCACACUUUGAAUAUCCAGGAAGUCUCUAAACCCCUGCGGCAGGCACAUAGGUGUGCCAGGACUCCGUUCCACCAUCUCUGUAGUUUUGUUUCUCCAUUCUUAACCACAGACACUCUUUUUUUUUCUAGCCAUAGUGAAGGAAUCACAGUCCCUGUAACAAACCACGUCCUUUACUUCUUGGUGCCACUGUACACAAUGCUCUCACCUUGACUUACCUUUGUCUACUGUAGCUUCCCACUCAUGCCCCAUCAUUGCUAAACCUUCAGUGACCCCCUCCCCCAGCUGUAGAACUGACCGUCCCUAACUUCACGCUCCACUUGUAUUUGGUCCACUGCUGUACCCACUGUGACACUUGACGAUUUUUGGUCAGUGUGUCUGUCUGGACCCCAGUGCUGUCCAAUAGAACUUUCUGCACUGAAGGAAGCAUGUUUAAUAUGGGGGUCAGCAGCCAUGUGUGGCUAGUGAACACUUGAAACGUGGCUAGUGCGGGUGAGCACUGAAACUUUAUGUUGUUGGUUGUUGCUACCAUAUUGGACAGUGCAGGUCUAGACCAGUGGCUUUCAAAUGUUCGUGUGUAUCAGAAUCACAUGGAGGGCAUAUUCAAACACAGAUACCUAGGGCCACCCCCAGAGUUUCUGAGUCAGUGGGCUUGUGUGGGGCCUGAGAAUUUACAUUUCUAACAAGCCCUCAGAUGAUGCUGUUAUUUCUGAUUGUGGAUUCAUAGCUUGGUUUAAUGGCCUAGACCAGUGUUGGCAGAUUACAGCCUCCAAGCAAGAUUUAACCAGCUACCUGUCUUUGAAAGUGUUUUACGGGAAAUAGCCUGUCCAUCCAUUUACACUGUCUAUGGAGGCUUUCACACUGCAAUGACAGAGCCAAGUAAUUGCAGCAGUAGAUCAUACAUGUAAAGCCAAAAAUACUCACUGUCUGACCCUUUACAGAAAGUGUGCUGAGUGCUGGUCUCUGUGAAGGACACUUUGUUGUCUUUGUAGCUUUGGACCUUGCAACAGUGGGUGGGGGUGCUGAGUAGCCAUGGAAUGAAUGAAUGAAUGAAGCAUUAUAGAGGAUUCCAGUUGAGUAUAAAUAUUAGCCUUAUUUACUGUGAUAGAUUGUUGUAGGAUUUUCACAAGUUUUGAAACAAUCUAUUUGAGUCAUUUUGACUUGAGCCUUGGAGGCAUUUAAAAUUCAUGUCCCUUAGCAAUUUGAUCAAGGUGAAAGCUCUGAGUAAAGGACUGUGAAAUGGAAAAGCCACAUUAAUCUGAACAGUAGGAAUAUUGGCUGUUGAAUUUAUUAUUAGUAGUUGUAGUAAUAUUUUACAGAAAUCUCAUUGGAAAGCCAUUUUAUCCUGGAACUAUUAGGGCAACAUUCUCUGAGAAGAUCAACUUCAAGGACCUGACCCAGACAUCUCUGCUCUGUGCUUCCAGAGCAGGAAUAAAGGGUUUUUUUCACUGGAUUGUCCUGGCACUUCCUUUAGGCCACUGAAGUCACAGGUAUGCUCAAAGUUUUCAAGGUCCAGG